rnacentral:rRNA from 1 species
UUCGCAAUGCCCGAAAGGCUGACGCAGCGACGCCGCGUGGAGGAUGACGCCCUUCGGGGUGUAAACUCCUGUUGCCCGGGACGAAUACCCGUUUCGACGGGGGUGACGGUACCGGGUGAGGAAGCACCGGCUAACUCUGUGCCAGCAGCCGCGGUAAUACAGAGGGUGCGAGCGUUGUCCGGAAUCACUGGGCGUAAAGGGCGCGUAGGCGGCUGGGUAAGCGUGUGGUGAAAGCCCGGGGCUCAACCCCGGGUCGGCCAUGCGAACUGUCCAGCUGGAGCACGGUAGAGGCACAUGGAAUUCCGGGUGUAGCGGUGGAAUGCGUAGAGAUCCGGAAGAACACCGGUGGCGAAGGCGGUGUGCUGGGCCGUAGCUGACGCUGAGGCGCGACAGCGUGGGGAGCAAACAGGAUUAGAUACCCUGGUAGUCCACGCCGUAAACGAUGGGCACUA